UAACACUGACGCUCAUGCACGAAAGCGUGGGGAGCAAACAGGAUUAGAUACCCUGGUAGUCCACGCCCUUAAACGAUGUCAACUAGCUGUUGGGGCCUUCGGGCUCGGUAGCGCAGCCAACGCGUGAAGUUGACCGCCUGGGGAGUACGGUCGCAAGAUUAAAACCUGAAGGAAUUGGACGGGGACCCGCACAAGCGGUGGAUGAUGUGGAUUAAUUCGAUGCAACGCGAAAAAACCUUACCUACCCUUGACAUGUCUGGAAUCCCGAAGAGAUUUGGGAGUGCUCGCAAGAGAACCGAACACAGGUGCUGCAUGGCUGUCGUCAGCUCGUGUCGAGAUGCCGGGUUAAGUCCCGCAACGAGCGGUCCUUGUCAUUAGUUGCUACGAAAGGGCACUCUAAUGAGACUGCCGGUGACAAACCGGAGGAAGGUGGGGAUGACGUCAAGUCCUCAUGGCCCUUAUGGGUAGGGCUUCACACGUCAUACAAUGGUCGGGACAGAGGGUCGCCAACCCGCGAGGGGGAGCCAAUCCCAGAAACCCGAUCGUAGUCCGAUCGCAGUCUGCAACUCGACUGCGUGAAGCUGGAAUCGCUAGUAAUCGCGGAUCAGCAUGUCGCGGUGAAUACGUUCCCGGGUCUUGUACACACCGCUGUCACACCAUGGGAGUGGGUUUUACCAGAAGUAGUUAGCCUAACCGUAAGGAGGGCGAUUACCACGGUAGGAUUCAUGACCGGGGGUGAAGUCGUAACAAGGCAG
rnacentral:misc_RNA from 1 species